GUGCUCGCUUCAGCAGCACAUAUACUAAAGUUGGAACGAAACAGAGAUUAGCACAGCCCCUGCGCAAGGAUGACAUGUGAAUUCGCGAAGUGUUUCAUAUAUAU